rnacentral:rRNA from 1 species
UCAAGAGUACGUGAAACCGUUCAGGGGUAAACCUGAGAAACCCAAAAGAUCGAAUGGGGAGAUUCAUCGUCAGCGUGGCUGGCUUCCGUGCGGUUCGCGAUGGCCGGGACCUGGUCCUGCGUCACGCGCGCCGCGGUAUGCCCGGCCGCGUCGGCGUGCACUUCUCCCCUAGUAGGACGUCGCGACCCGUUGGGUGUCGCCGAUGGCCGUUUGGUCGCCUGUCUCGUCGCGUUCGCGUGUACGUGGCAGACCGAAGUCGAGCGUCCGGCUGCCCGGCGGUAUAGAACGCUUACGGUAAUGAGCCGCAUAAGUGCGUUAGGCUCGUCGGCAGGCUCGUCUCGCCCGGAUACGGACCUAACGCCGUUGCCGGGUGCUUGGCGGGCUUUAGUCGGCGAUGUCCUCGGACUGGCUCUAAAUUCGAAAGGAUUACCGGUCGGCGACGCUACUGCUUUGGGUACUUUCAGGACCCGUCUUGAAACACGGACCAAGGAGUCUAACAUGUGCGCGAGUCAUUGGGACUUGAAGCCUAAAGGCGCAAUGAAAGUGAAGGUCGGCCAAGUCGACCGAGGGAGGA